rnacentral:lncRNA from 1 species
UUGAUCAAAGAGAGACUCACUAAAAGCCCCAACUUCGAUCCAAAGAAAUCUGUCGUUGGCCUUGCUUCAUACAAGUACAAAUGUUCAAUUUUGACACUUUAUGGGCCUCAGGAAUGCGAGCAUGAGAACUCACUCUUGCAAGCUGCGAAUAAUUGGCUUCAAGGUUUGAAGGUUGUUAUCCCUGAUUUCCAAUUUUUUCGCUCUCAUUAAACACCGUGGAGAUGAUGAUGAUGAUGCAUGGAAGCUUUCUUGAUGUGCAUCAUCUCUCUUUAUGGGCAAAAAAAUUAUAGAUGUCGGUUUCUUGAUGUAUGAAUCAAAAAUUUCUCCAGUCAGGGUCAGCGCUUAUUAUUCUUAUGUGUUUUGCCAGAGGAUCUAUCGAUUUGGGUUUCUGACCUUGUGGUCGAAAAUAAUGGUGCUUUACCGGCUGAUUUGCAGUUUCAUCUGAUUUAUUGAAUUUUUUUUGUCUAAUCUCCGAGACCUAGUUCGUCGACAUCCAUGGAUGUGACUGAGUUGCUGUGGAUGUGAUGACCCAAGUCCCACGUCAACUAAUUCGAAAUAUUUACUACUUUUCUAAAUCUAUAAAUAGAAGGGU